AACGAACGCUGGCGGCAGGUUUAACACAUGCAAGUCGAACGGGCGUAGCAAUACGUCAGUGGCAGACGGGUGAGUAACACGUGGGAACGUCCCCCUCGGUUCGGAAUAACUCAGGGAAACUUGAGCUAAUACCGGAUACGUCCGAGAGGAGAAAGAUUUAUCGCCGAGGGAUCGGCCCGCGUCUGAUUAGCUAGUUGGUGAGGUAAUGGCUCACCAAGGCGACGAUCAGUAGCUGGUCUGAGAGGAUGAUCAGCCACACUGGGACUGAGACACGGCCCAGACUCCUACGGGAGGCAGCAGUGGGGAAUAAUGGACAAUGGGCGCAAGCCUGAUCCAGCCAUGCCGCGUGAGUGAUGAAGGCCUUAGGGUUGUAAAGCUCUUUUGCCAGGGAAGAUAAUGACUGUACCUGGAGAAUGAGCCCCGGCUAACUUCGUGCCAGCAGCCGCGGUAAAAC
rnacentral:rRNA from 1 species